AAACACACACAUGGGGUCUGGCUUGUCCCCCAUCUCCAGCAUGUCGUCCACCUCGAUCAGACGCAGACAGUCAGCCUGCUCUCUGAAACAGAAAUAAAGUCAUGCUAAUGCUGAAAGUGAUGUUGAAACAGGAAAUACUAGUGGGAUUCUUGAGAGAGGAUGCUUCACUAUGCUGCUCUCUUUUAGGGCUCACUACAUCAUCUGCCUCCAUCCCAACUUGUCCCACUGACCCCGCCGUCUGUCUCCAGACUCUUUCCUGUCACUGGUGCUCAGUAUGAACCUGCCCGUGUUUGAAUCAUUAUUAACUGCUAAAUUAGACACUUAGCAAUUAGCACUGUGUUUGAAAACAUUAGCAAAACAAAGGAAUCACCGCUAUGAUUUCCUAUUGGAGCCAUGCUACGUAAAUGAAAUAAGUCAAAUUUUUAAAAAAAUACAAAUACAUUUUUAAAAAAAAGCAUUUUUGUGAAAAAUUAAAAUGUGUCAUCUCUGGGUUUAACAUGAUUAAUUUAAGAACUAUAUCCUGGAGGAUUUUUAGAUGAUAAAAACUGUAAUCCAGAAAUCAUUUUUAGAGUGAUAUUCAUUGAGAAUAAGGUUAUACAUUUAUGGGGGGGAAAGUCCAAUAUUCACUGAGACUCUUUGAAUUUACUUCUCACAUGUAAGGCUUUAAAAUUCCAAUCUCCCUUGUGUUUUCUCACAAAUUUAUGACUUUAUAUUUCCAAAUAUAUCAAGCUUUUUUCCCUUAAUUAUUUUAAUCCAGUAAAACCUGAACUGAAUUGGCAGAAAAUUGUAAUUUUGUUUAUCAAGCCUUCUGUAAGUAUCAGAAUGCAUAUAUUAGUUUUCAUUUUUGUAAUAAUUGCUAUAUCCAACCACUUGGGCAAUUUAUUCCUCACAGUUUUUAAAUCUUAAACAAACCAAAGUAGGUUAGAGUUAAAAAUUACACUGAUGAUGUAACGUUUUCAUAAAUUCAUGUAUCAAAUACGAUACACUUGACGUUACAGGGUUAAACCUGGUAAAUUUAGUUUUUUGUUGCAAGAGUGUCACCUCUCCUGGCUUCAGCAAUUUAUUAUUCCACCUAAAACAGACCUUUUAUCACACUGCACAGUCACUCAGUGGCUCUUCGACCCAGCUUACUCUGCGG